ensembl:lncRNA novel transcript
GCCACAUGGAACAUCUAAGCUUCUCUACUCACCAGACGGCCUCAAAUCAUGGGGAGCACCAAAGGCUUGGGACUUAUGUCGUUGUAUCUUUCAUCCACACUAGUCUUUCUGUUGGAAUGCCUUUGCCAAUUUUGACUGCCUGGCAAACUCUUAUUCAUCCUUCAAUUCUCAGGUGAAAACACCAUUUCUGAUGUUUCCUCCAUGUAGAGGGAUAUCUAUCAGACAUUCUACCUGGCGUCUGCUGCUCCAUCAUCACUGCAUCCAUCAUCACCAGAGGAGUCUCCUCUCCUUCUGUGGGCUGGAAAUGACUCUCCCUGAAGUUAAUUCCUCAAUUGUCCUUGCACUGUCAGAUGCCUUUCUUUCUGAAGGAUUUCCUUAAUCCGCUGUGGUACUUUAAGUGGCUGUCUUGAUAACACCAAAUGUCAUCUGGCAAGUGAAUGACCUUACCUGCUAUCCACAUAUAUUGUCAGAGGGAACUGUGAACUUUGUUUUGGCUUUAAUUUUAAGAGCCUGAAUCCCAAGGCAGAUAUCACAAACAUGAAGACCUAUCCUAUUCCUGCUUCUGUACAUUGCUGGAGAAUAAUAGAAUUAUUGCUCUUUUUAUUUGUGUUUAUUUUUCUAUUUUUGGAAGAGCUACUCAUUGUUAAGUGAUAGAGAAAGAAUGCCAAUAAACCAAUACCUGGGUGAA